rnacentral:rRNA from 1 species
AUUGAACGCUGGCGGCAGGCCUAACACAUGCAAGUCGAACGGUAACAGGAAGCAGCUUGCUGCUUCGCUGACGAGUGGCGGACGGGUGAGUAAUGUCUGGGAAGCUGCCUGAUGGAGGGGGAUAACUACUGGAAACGGUAGCUAAUACCGCAUAAUGUCGCAAGACCAAAGAGGGGGACCUUCGGGCCUCUUGCCAUCGGAUGUGCCCAGAUGGGAUUAGCUUGUUGGUGGGGUAACGGCUCACCAAGGCGACGAUCCCUAGCUGGUCUGAGAGGAUGACCAGCCACACUGGAACUGAGACACGGUCCAGACUCCUA